AGACCAGUUGAUGUUCAGCUG
rnacentral:miRNA from 1 species